GGUGGUUGUAGUUCAGUUGGUUAGAACGCCUGAUUGUGGUUCAGGAGGUCGCCGGUUCGAGUCCGGUCUUCCACCC
rnacentral:tRNA from 2 species